AAUGAUAGCUCCUCAAACAUCUUUCAAAUUACUUGUUUUCUUAGCAUAAAUCUUAAAAAGCUUAGAUAUAUUUAAUCUACAUAUUCAUAU
rnacentral:sRNA from 1 species